AGAUACCAAACUCAAUGGAUGGAUGUUGGCAUUUUGCAUUUGUGCAAUACUUCUGGCGAUCGGGUUUAUGAUAUGUAAAAGAGAUCAAAUUAAGUCAGCCUUUACAGGUCUAAAAGGGAAAAUCCAAACACAAUGGUCCAGGGUUCCUAGGGAAUGCCAGCCAGUCCCAUGAAAUCCCUGCAUAGAGUGGAUAAUAGUGAAUGAGCUAAGCCUAAAUGACACAAAAACUGAAGUUUUCGUUGCUGCCUCUUCUCAUAGCUUUGGUGUUCUGAUUGAUUCCCGCAUGUCAUUGUCGUACCUUAUCUUUCAUAUCUCUUGCACAGUUUCUUUUUAUCUAACAAGGAACAUUUAUAUAAUCAGAAGGUUCACUUUAUUCAAAAUCAAACAAAGAAACAUAGGUGUGUACAUAAUCAAAAGGAAACAAGCCCAGGUCACAUUAAGUCAGGGCAACAAAAAUAAUGUUGGAAGUUAGAGCAAUAACGGGAUCGGAGUUUGGUUCGGAAGUUUUGCUCCUAAAAUCAAAAUCGGUUUGGAUAUCGGAUCGGAAGAUAUUCAAAAACAGAAAAAUACAUUAAAAUUUGUAUGUGGCUGGCACAUGGACAAAUGCUGCAAGCUACACUGAUGACAGAAUUUGUUUUGAUCUCCGACAAAAGCGGAGGAAGAAGAUGAUGAUUUGUUUUGAUCUCCGACAUAAUCGGAGGAAGGAAAAGAAGAUAAUGACAUUGCAGCGCGCGACACUACCGCCGAUCAACGAUAGGCCUCUUCUCUACAAAAUCGUGGUGAUGGCGGAGUCCAUCGUGAACUUUUAGAGGUCGCAUUACUUACGGAAAAAGACGCACUACUAUCCGAAGUUGUUAACGAUGAUAUUCACCUUCUCUACAACAUCGUUGUGAUUGCGGAGGUAAUCCUAAACUCAUAGUCAGAUAGUCGUAAACAUUACCGUGCAUGUCAGCGUGUUCAACUAAAUUUUAUUUGCCUCCGCUUAAGAUCAAAACAUAUCGUCGUCUUGUUGUUUUUCUUCUUCCUCCAUUUUUGUCGGAGAUCAAAACAAAUUAUCACCAAUUAUCAUCAUCAUCUUUUUGUUCUUCCCCGAUUAUGUCAGAGAUGAAAACAAAUCAUCAUCUUCUCCUCCACCUCCCUUAUAGCAUUCUGAAAUACUGCCCCCCCCCCCCGAUGUCUCAAUUUGGUCCCCUGGAACCAGGUCAAAACAUUGUUAUACAUAGAAUUGCACAGUUGUCCGUAUUUAUCUAUUCAUAUUUAGUAAAUGACCGUUAAUUUGAGUUUGUAGUAUUAGUCAAUUCAUUAAAUGUAUGUAUAUUUUGUGUUUUGUAUUGUAUCGGAAGGAAAUUAGGGAUUUAAUUUGUCAGUACUGUUCAAUUUCAGAAGAGGCUUGGUCAGACUCAUAAUUGUAGGUAUCAUUGAAGAGUACAUAUACUAUUAUGUAAAUAUUACUGUUUUUAUGUUCUCAUCAAAUUGUAUGUAAUCAGCCAUGUAUUUAAUAUAUCAUUGUUCUUUGAAAUGAAUUUGAUGUGUACUAAUUAUUACUCAUUUUUAUAUUCUAUUGAAAUUUUUUGUAAUCUUUGUUUUUACUAGUGUUUUUAGUAAUACAAGAGCAGAACGUUGACAGUUUCACAGAAAUUAGACAACGAAUGUGAAAAGUAAUGACCAUUUAUUUCGAAAUUUCAAAUUGGCAAUUCAGUUUUUUGAUAAGGGAUGAGGAAAACUUUCCCUUUAUAGGCCAUGUACUUACAUGUAAUUAUCAGAAAUUUGUGGUUUUCUCAUAAGUACUUAUUUCCAUUUGGCAGCAUUAGCAUGUAACUCAGAUAACAUUGUUUUAUAUCCUCAUGAAAGAAAAAUAUUUUAAUUACAACUUUGAAAAAUAAGGAAAUAUUAAGCUGUUUUAUGUAUUGGUGCAAAUUGAGUAGUAGUCCCUUCCCUUCAUCACAAUGAACAUCUUCAGUGCAGCCAAUUUAAAUACAGAUAACUCUAUGUAUUGUCAAUCUCUUGGGACUAGAGAUAUCUGUUCGUUUUAGAGACAAAAAUUGACUUAAAAGAGGUAUAUAACACAUGUUUUGAUUAAUCUGGUCUAAAAAAUUACUUGGACUUAAGGCAAAUAUUCGACUUAUGGAAGGUCGACCUAAGGAAGAGUGUAUAAGUGAUAGCAAAUUAUUUUACUUCGCAUGUACAGAUAAAUUCUUUACUUUCUGAUUGUUAGUCUGAUAUGGUAUCUGCCUGUCAUGGCCCUGGGAAGCAGGGUGCUGGGGGUGCUGUGUAUAGUGUUAAGGUCACUGCACAUCCGAUCGUACGACUGGUCCACUAUCUGAGUUUUGAGCAAAUUACAUUUUGCUAAUUUUCUGAAAAUAUGAAUGAAAAUGGUCUUUUUAUUUUAGGUUCAAAUUAACUGAAAGAAUACUAAUGUAAAGAUUUCGAAUGAUUGCAAGCAUUUUUUUUUUAGAAAAGGCAUAUUAGUUUCAAAUUGAUUGCUAUGACAUCAUUACGGCUAUAUUUAGUUUGCUUUUAUUCUAAUAAGGAUGAUGGUAUAGUCACAGAUUUGAACAUAGGUAUUUGUACAAUUAUUUAGCAUAUUACACAGUAAGAUAUUCCAUGUCUCAAUAUUGGCAUCAAAUUCUGUAAUGUUUUACUUCAAAAUCGGGGUGCAGACUAAUCGUAAGAUGUGCAUUGGCAUUUACACCAUAUGCAGCCCCCCCCCCCCCCCCGGUAUUGGUAUCCUAAAAUGUAAAGAUUCAACCCAACAAAUGUGUUUCUUUUUAAGAGCAAAAACCCCCUUGUUUUUUCUUCUUUUUUUUCACUUUUCAGAUUUUUUCGGACCAAAUUCGCCUUCAUUUUCUUUUUCUUUUUUCCCAGAACAAAGCCACCUUCAUUUGUUUUUCUUGUCAUUUUUUAAAUUAAAAUUACCCUCAUUUUGGAGAGAACACUUUUUUGAGGGAUGUUUGUUAACAAACAUUGAUUUCCCUCUUUAAAAUCGAUCCCAGGCCCCAGCCACUUGUCUGAUAUUUCUUCAUUUUUUUUUCAUUAAAACAGCUUUCCAUUUGUGUUGGAUUUUCCUUUAAGUGCAUCUUAUUACAGUAAAAUCUUAGAAAUUUAUGUUUUAUGAAUAAAUCAUGUGGAAAUUACUUUCUUUCAAA